rnacentral:lncRNA from 1 species
AGAAAGAGGGAGAGGGAGAGAGCACACCUGGUGCCACAUGUAUAGAAAUUCGCCUACCUCUAAAGCAACAGAGACUUGUCCAGAUUUGAUAAACUUAGUUCUGCCUCAAGAAAACAUUAGAUUUCAGCCAUGAGUUAGCCCAUCUAUAGCAGGGCUGAGACCUCAUCUUAAACCCCGAGGGUGUGGGGAACUCCAAUCCCUUUGAUCUUAGGAGAGGUUCUAUUUUUUCUAGAGGGGCCCGCCAUAAAGCUUGAAUUAGAACCGGGACCUGAAUGUCAUGAGCAAUUUCGUUCCAAGUGUCUCCUGAGCACGCCUGGGAAACUUCGGAGAGCCAGAGAGGGGCCUCUGUGUGUGGUCGUGCUGGAGGAGACACAAUAAUGGAGCUGACCAUAGGUAAAAGAUUUCAGACAGGGGGGGGGGGGGGUGUUUUGUUGUAAGAUGGGAUCUCACGCAACUCUGACCUCAAAGGCCCUAGCCAAGGGUCACUUUGAACUUCUGACCUUCCUGCUUCUGCUCCCUGAGGGUUAGGAUUGCAAGCAUGUGCCGCCCCGCCCAGCCUCCUGCAUUCUGGAAAUCAAGCCAGGGGCUUCCGUAAGCACCCAACAGGCUGCUCUCCGUAAUAAAGGAUUGUUCCGUAGCUCCAUGCUUGUGACCCUGUAACCACACCAAGAAACUGCUUCACAGUCAGUGGCCCCCACUCCUCCUAAGUAACUUCUGUUGCCGGUUAUGUUGACUGGGUAAAGAGAAAGCGGUCUAAGCUAAUAUUUGAGAACACGGCUCACGAGGUGAAAGAGCCAGACACGCCCUCAUAGUCCUACAGAACAGGGUGAACUUUGUCCAUCCUCCACUACGUUGGUCUGAAUGAGGCGGUCCCCAUACUCUCGAGCAUCUGAGUAUUUGGUCACCAGUUGGUGACUGCUGCUUGGUUUGUGGUUCGUGUGGUGAGCCCUCAGUUACUGUUCCAGUCAUUUUGCCUGCUGCCAUGCUUCCCGCCAUAACGGUGAUGGGUUUAUCCUCUGGGGAGGAAUCUCAUGCAUUCCGUUGUCUUCAACAACACCCUCCAACACCCUCCUCUUACACGCUUUCUCGCGACCGGCCAGGAAAGACGCAACAAACCGGAAUCUUCUGCGGCAAAAGCUUUAUUGCUUACAUCUUCAGGAGCAAGAGUGCAAGAGAGCAAGAGCUCUAUUGCUUACAUCUUUAGGAGCCAGAGCAAGAGCGCAAGAGAGCAAGAGCCAGAGCAAGAGAGAGAAAGAAAGCAAGAAAAAGAACAAGAACAAGAAAGCAAGAGCAAGAGAGAGAGAAAGCAAGAACAAGAGAGAGAAAAAGAAUGGCAAAACCCCGUCCCUUUUAAGGAGAAUUAUCCUCCGCCUAGGACGUAUUACUCCCUGAUUGGCUGCAGCCCAUCGGCCCAGUAGUCAUCAUGAGAAGGCAGAACACAUGGCGGGAAAACUGCCCCUGCACAUGUGCAGAUUAUGUUUACCACUUAGAACACAGCUGUCAGCGCCAUCUUAUAAUGGCAAAUGUGAGGGUGGCUCCCCACACCCUCCCUUAAAGUGUCUUGUCUUUCCCAUCUUGUGGACCUUUUUCUAGUUCCUUGGCCUCUACCCACAUUUACUCUCCAACAGGCAUACAUACUUAACAACUAGCAGCUAGGAGCCACAUACAAGAGAACAACUGGUCCACUGCAUCUGCCUUUCUGAGCCUUCACCCCCUUUAGCAUAAUGUUUUCUAGUUCCAACCAUUUUCUUGUAAUUUCCUUCUGUAAAAGAUCUUCAUUUAUUUGAACCGCAUGUAUAUGAGUGUUCUGCCUCCAGGUAUGUAAGUGUACAUGCAUAAAUUCACCUGGCGCUGCAGAGGCCAAAAGAACGAAUCGGAUGCCCUGGAACUGGAGUUACAGAGAGUUGUGAGCUGCCGCAUGGGGGCUGGGAACCAAACCCAUUUUGGUGGAACCAAACCAAGCCCACUUGCUAUUCCUCUGCAAGAACAGCGAGUGCUUUUAGCUAUUGAGCUAAGUCUCCAGCUCCCACACGUCAUAUCGAGUUGCUAUGUGAGUAAAAUCCUAUUGUGUGUAUGUACUAUAUUCCCAUUAUCCAUUCUUCCAUUGAUGGACAUGUAAGCUGAUUCCAUCUGCUUUGUACUGUGAAAAGAGCAUUCGUGUACAUGGAUGUACACGGAUCACUGUGGUAGGAUGCACAGAUCCUUGGUUGUACACGGAUGUACAUGGAUCACUGUGGUGGGAUACACAGACCUUUGGAGGCUGGGCAUGGUAGAGACUCACACCUUUAAUCCCAGAACUCAGGAAGCAUAGGCACACAGAUCUCUGAGUUUGAGUGCCAGGACGGUUAGGGCUGCGCAGAGGGAAAAUGUCUAAAACCAAAAUAGUAACAACAGCAACCCCGGGUUGGUUGCAUGUGCAGGAAUGGUAGAGCUGAGUCAGGUGGUACUUCUAGUCUUAGGUUGCUGAAGUUCCACACUAAUAACCAUAAUGGCUGCACCAGGGACCUUUUCUUUCCCAAAUCAUCACGGAUAUGCAUUGUCUUGAAGUUGGCCACUCUCUGACUUCGGUGAGGUGGAAUCUCAAAGACGUGUUGCUUUGCUUUUUUUUUUUUUUUUCCUGGUGGCUUGGAAACAGUUUUUAUGCAUUAACAGCUUUCUAUUGGAGAAGUUUGUUUUUGUUUUUAUUUGUUUUGUUUUUUCUGUGUCUUCACCUGAUUUAGCAAGUGGAAUUUGUGUUUUUCACGAGGUUUAUAAAUAAAAUGUUAUGUAGCCCAUGGUACCU